rnacentral:rRNA from 1 species
CCGGCACGGGUGGAGUAACACGUAUGCAAUCCACCUGUAACAGGGGGAGUAAACCCGGAGAAAUCGGACUAAUACCCCAUAAUAUGGGCGCUCCGCAUGGAGAGCCCAUUAAAGAGAGCAAUUUUGGUUACAGACGAGCAUGCGCUCCAUUAGCCAGUUGGCGGGGUAACGGCCCACCAAAGCGACGAUGGAUAGGGGUUCUGAGAGGAAGGUCCCCCACAUUGGAACUGAGACACGGUCCAA